CAAUAGCGUAUAUUAAAGUUGUUGCGGUUAAAAAGCUCGUAGUUGGAUUUCUGCUGAGAACGACCGGUCCGCCCUUUGGGUGUGUAUCUGGCUCUUUCUUGGCAUCUUCUUGGUGAACGUUGCUGCACUUGACUGUGUGGAGCGCUACCCAGGACUUUUACUUUGAGGAAAUUAGAGUGUUUCAAGCAGGCAUACGCCUUGAAUACAUUAGCAUGGAAUAAUAAGAUAGGACCUCGGUUCUAUUUUGUUGGUUUCUAGAGCUGAGGUAAUGAUUAAUAGGGAUAGUUGGGGGCAUUCGUAUUUAACUGUCAGAGGUGAAAUUCUUGGAUUUGUUACAGACGGACUACUGCGAAAGCAUUUGCCAAGGAUGUUUUCAUUG
rnacentral:rRNA from 1 species